rnacentral:rRNA from 1 species
ACUGAAUAGAUACCCGGGUAGUCCUGGCCGUAAACGAUGUCGACUAGAUCGCAGUGCCUCUGACGGUAUUGCGGUCGAAAGCAAAAGUGCUAAGUCGACCGCCUGGGAAGUACGGUCGCAAGGCUAAAACUCAAAGAAAUUGACGGGGGCUCACACAAGCGGUGGAGCAUGUGGUUCAAUUCGAAGCAACGCGCAGAACCUUACCUGGGCUUGAAACGCUAGGAUUAUCCCUAUGAAAGUAGGGUAGGCCCUUCGGGUACGAACUAGUACAGGUGCUGCAUGGCUGUCGUCAGCUCGUGUCGUGAGAUGUCGGGUUAAGU